UACCCUGUGCAGCUGCAUAAGCAUUUUCAGCUCCCAAGCAAAUAAUACAAAUCGUGUUCUCAUCUGAGGCUGGGAGUUGUUUUUCCACACUGUUGACAUGGGUGGAACGACAUCCUGUGUACAGCACUGCAUCAGUAUGCAAAUAAUGAAUUUUCACAUAAGAGAAGUGUGUUCCAAGAAAAAGGUAACAAAAAAGCUUUUCGUUUCGGUGUGUCUCGGUGUAUGCUUUGAUUGCUUCAGUUUCGGCUUUGGAUGCAUUGAGAGAAAUUUUGACUUACUGUUGGCUCCGACCUGUCGUGCUUCGGGGUCAAGACUCCCAUAUAAAUAUGUAAGUUAUCAAGGUCCGGGAUCAAAACUCCCGCCUAUAUGAAGCUAUCUGACUGGCACAAUCAAGCAUGGACUAUCAGUCUCGGUGUUGGUGGACUCUGUCAUGCGAGGACCGGUAGCCUACUGCACCGCUGAGCUCCGGGAUCAUAGCAAAACUCCAAGUGAGGGAGUGGUAAUGCUGGAUCAAUGGGCUGGGACUGGCACAACACCAUGGGUCAACAACAGUGUGGAGUCAAUUGAGGGGACUAUGUUUCAUGAAGCCAAUAGAAGACUGUUGCUCACUGAGAGGAGCAGUCAGGCAACAACCCAUACUGUACUGGUGGUAGGUAGCCCAGAGGCUAAGGAUUUGGACCUGUGGCAGGAGAUGGACCUGUGUCCGGUUUGAAUUCUGGGCCGGGCACUGGAAAAACGGGCAGAAUUGAUCUGACAACUGGAGGGCUGCUGGGUUCACAUCCUCAAAACAUGCCCCUACUGUUGUGCCCUUGACCAAAGCCAUAACAUGCUUUCCAUCCAGGGGUGCUGCACUGCAGCUUGAACCUGUGCUCAACUGUAUGUGUGAGGUCUGCUGUUUGGGGGGUUGAGCACAGAGCAGAAGACACAAUUUUGUUGUUUGCUGUAACUAACAGAGAAAGUUGUAUUGUAAAGAAGUCAGCCAGAGUUGACAUGGGCCACCYUUCAAGCAAAUAGAUGCCUCGCUGGCCACCAGUGCAUAUUUCCAAACUAUGUUUGCAUAUAAUGYCAAUACAUUCUAAAAACUAUGCUGGUAAUUAUUAUUUAGUUUAUUACAUUAUAUUCUUAGCUAAAAAUAUUACUAUUUAAUAGUAGUAGCCAUAAUUCAUAAAUGGCACCAUGCAGGGUUCUAUAUGGAACCAUUUUGGUUCAGUGACGAAGAACCUCUAGGGUUUUUUGUAACUUUUAGGGAUCCCAUAUAUGAAGCAAGCGAUAGAACCCUUUUUGGUUUUAUAAGGAACCUUCUUUUCUAAGAGUGAGGAUGCUUAGGAAGGAGACAGCUGAUACCACUUAUAGAGGGGAUUUACUCUAUCAGGCAAAUGGGCAGACAAUGGUUCCUAGUUGGUACCUGGCUUGCCUAGUCAAAUUGAAGUAUCAUUGACAAAACUUUACACUGCAUAUCUGCAUAUCAUUCUCUACCUUUCACUGGUGAACAAKGUCUCUUGGGGUCAAAUUAAGUGUACAUGAGCCUACCUCAUUAAAUCAAUUAUAUUACAAUUACAUCUGAAUAACACUGUAAGUGAGCCUGACCCAGGGUAGACAUACAGACAGCUAGUAACAGUUGAUUUUUAGUAAACAAGGAAGUCUUUUGUUUUUAUUUGACCAUUUCAAUUAUCCAUCUCUCUCCAUACCCCCCUAACCCUCUCUCCAUCCCUCCCCCGCUCCCUCCUGGUACAGACAGACUACUGGAGCUUCCCAGAAACAGUAAUCACAUACACUAUUAAUGAGACAUGUUCAUUCUGGACCCAUUUACUGCUCUUAAUAAUGCAUACUCUCUGGAAUUGUCUGUGGGUAUAUUACACUGUGUGCAUAUCAAACACACACUCUCCAUGUCCUCUUGUAAGAGAGAUAUCUGGUGGUUCGGUCAUGUUGUCUGUCUGGCCUCAGGCUUAAUACUCUCCAGGAAAAUAUGAGAAUGUAUUAUUCGGGGGGGGGGGGUCUCAGGGGUUGUUUAAGAAGCUAAAAGACACAAUUACAUCUCUACAAAUGGAC